CAGGAGUGGGGGCUUCAUCUUUUCUUACAGUGGAGGUGAUGCCUGUUUUGCAGAAGACACAAAUGGAAAGAAACUUCUAUGUGAGUAUUGAUCUCUGCACCAGUGACUGCAGUUUCUGUAUUGCAAGAGCAUCCCAAGUGACAUCUGACCUGCUGUCCUGCAGAGUGAAUGGGUGAAUAUGAAGAAAUCCACCGGACAUAGCAGAUCUUUCCAUUUUUGCUUUACAACUCUAUUACUUGGCAAAGAAAACCAUGGAGGCUCAGCUUCCACGAAGACUUUAA
rnacentral:lncRNA from 1 species